CGCGUAGGCGGCCUUGUUUGUCAGGCGUGAAAGCCCUGGGCUCAACCUGGGAACGGCGCUUGGGACGGCAAGGCUUGAGUUCGGGAGAGGAGAGUGGAAUUCCCAGUGUAGAGGUGAAAUUCGUAGAUAUUGGGAAGAACACCGGUGGCGAAGGCGGCUCUCUGGACCGAUACUGACGCUGAGGCGCGAAAGCGUGGGGAGCAAACAGGAUUAGAUACCCUGGUAGUCCACGCUGUAAACGAUGUGUGCUAGACGUUGGGGAGCCUAGCUCUUCGGUGUCGCAGCUAACGCGGUAAGCACACCGCCUGGGGAGUACGGCCGCAAGGUUAAA
rnacentral:rRNA from 1 species